rnacentral:rRNA from 1 species
UACGGGGGGGGGCAAGCGUUGUUCGGAAUUACUGGGCGUAAAGCGCGUGUAGGCGGUCCGGUAAGUCCGCUGUGAAAGUCGGGGGCUCAACCCUCGAAUGCCGGUGGAGUACUGUCGGGCUAGAGUGCGGAAGAGGCGAGUGGAAUUCCUGGUGUAGCGGUGAAAUGCGUAGAGUAUCGUGAGGAACACCAGAGGCGAAGGCGGCUACCUGGACAAUUGGCUGACGCUCAGGCACGGAAAGCGUGGGAGCAAAGGGA